rnacentral:rRNA from 1 species
CCUACGGGAGGCAGCAGUGAGGAAUAUUGGUCAAUGGUCGGGAGACUGAACCAGCCAAGCCGCGUGAGGGAGGAAGGUACAGAGUAUCGUAAACCUCUUUUGUCAGGGAGCAAAGACUGGGACGCGUCCCCGGAUGAGUGUACCUGAAGAAAAAGCAUCGGCUAACUACGUGCCAGCAGACGCGGUAAUACGUAGGAGGCAAGCGUCGUCCGGAUUUACUGGGGGUAAAGGGAGUGCAGGCGGGAAGACAAGUCAGAUGUGAAAUCCCGCGGCUCAACCGCGGAACUGCAUUUGAAACUGUUGUGCUUGAGUAUCGGAGAGGUAAUCGGAAUUCCUAGUGUAGCGGUGAAAUGCGUAGAUAUUAGGAAGAACACCAGUGGCGAAGGCGGAUUACUGGACGACAACUGACGGUGAGGCGCGAAAGCGUGGGGAGCAAACAGGAUUAGAUACCCCUGUAGUC